CGUGCUUCUCGGUGCCGCUGCCCGCGCGCCUGCGGUCGUCUUUGCCCGAGUUCCAGGCAGCGCCCGAGGCCGAGCCCGAGCCCGGCGAGCCACUGCUUCAGGUCACGCUGGUCGACUGCCCCGGGCACGCCUCCCUCAUCCGGACCAUCAUCGGCGGGGCCCAGAUCAUUGAUCUGAUGAUGCUGGUCAUUGAUGUGACCAAGGGGAUGCAGACCCAGUCAGCGGAAUGCCUUGUGAUCGGCCAGAUUGCCUGCCAGAAGCUGGUCGUGGUGCUGAACAAAAUAGACCUCUUACCUGAAGGAAAGAGACAGGCAGCAAUUGAUAAAAUGACCAAGAAAAUGCAGAAGACCCUAGAGAACACCAAGUGGUGAAGAAGGUGAAGUCCAUGCAGAUGUUCCACAUGCCCAUCACUUCAGCCAUGCAAGGAGACCGGCUGGGCAUCUGCGUCACCCAGUUUGACCCUAAGCUGCUGGAGCGCGGGUUGGUGUGUGCCCCCGAGUCCCUGCACACUGUCCAUGCGGCCCUCAUCUCUGUGGAAAAGAUACCGUAUUUCCGGGGGCCCCUGCAAACCAAGGCCAAGUUCCACAUUACAGUGGGCCAUGAAACAGUCAUGGGCCGGUUGAUGUUCUUCAGUCCUGCU
rnacentral:sRNA from 1 species